UGUUUGUCUGUUUGACCGUUUCAUUUUUAGCCAUGGCGUUGUCAGUUUAUUUUCCAUUUAUGAGUUUGACUGCCCCUCUAGUAUCUUUUGCCCCUUUUUAAAGAAGAUGUUCACCUAUCUUUAUUAGUUUUGUCAUAUAUUAUAGAAAAUUAUAGUAGAAAAAGAUACACUUUAAAUCACAAAAAUGACCAGCAAGUCAAGAUCUACU
rnacentral:lncRNA from 1 species